rnacentral:tRNA from 1 species
CCUUCGAUAGCUCAGCUGGUAGAGCGGAGGACUGUAGAGGCGGUGCCGCACUGGAAUCCUUAGGUCGCUGGUUCGAUUCCGGCUCGAAGGA